rnacentral:rRNA from 1 species
AGUGAACGCUGGCGGUAGGCCUAACACAUGCAAGUCGAACGGCAGCACAGUAAGAGCUUGCUCUUACGGGUGGCGAGUGGCGGACGGGUGAGGAAUACAUCGGAAUCUACUUUUUCGUGGGGGAUAACGUAGGGAAACUUACGCUAAUACCGCAUACGACCUACGGGUGAAAGCAGGGGAUCUUCGGACCUUGCGCGAUUGAAUGAGCCGAUGUCGGAUUAGCUAGUUGGCGGGGUAAAGGCCCACCAAGGCGACGAUCCGUAGCUGGUCUGAGAGGAUGAUCAGCCACACGGGAACUGAGACACGGUCCAGACUCCUGCGGGAGGCAGCAGUGGGGAAUAUUGGACAAUGGGCGCAAGCCUGAUCCAGCCAUACCGCGUGGGUGAAGAAGGCCUUCGGGUUGUAAAGCCCUUUUGUUGGGAAAGAAAAGCAGCAGGUUAAUACCCCGCUGUUCUGACGGUACCCAAAGAAUAAGCACCGGCUAACUUCGUG